GGGGGAGCAUAAAAAUAACCUAUUGAGGCGUCUGUCCCGAGGUGUGGGAACUGAACACGUGAGCGCUUUAGCGGCGCGCUUCAGAAAACUGUUUUCGGAUUUAGCAGCCUGUGUCAGAUCCGCAGGGUCCACGUUCCCUGACGUUGAUAGCAAACCCCAAACAAAAGGAGGGGAGUUCAACACAAAUCCCAUCUACAGAGGGCCCCAAAUCACCGUGCCAUGGACCGGCCCCGUGUUUCAGUACCCCAUAUCUCGGUUUCAUCUCAAAGCUCACGUGGACCGGCUGGAACUCAGGUUCCGAAAGAGAAAUCCUAGCGAGGCACGAGCAUCGGACAUCCGUUCUGCAGAAGAUUCCAGCCGCCAGUAUGCCGUAUUUCAACGAUGAGAAAGUAGCCGAAAUGGCCGAUCUAGUAGAGAAAAUCAAACUGCGCUGAUUCAACUCGGAGUCAGGCUUAGACUGUGAUACCAGCUUCCCAACAAAAGGAGAGAUGCCCAUGUCAAAUCCAACCUACAAAGGGACCCAAAUCACCGUUCCUUGGGCUGGUCCAGUUUUCGCAUACCCCACAUCUGGGUACAUCACAAACGCCGAGCUGGACCUGCUGGAACUCAGGUUCUGGAAACAGUCUGAGAUCCUGGCGAGUCACGGGCGUCGGGCCGCCGUCCAGCAUAAGAUUAAGGCCGCCGGUAUGCCGUAUUUCAACGACGAGAAAGUGGCGAAAAUAACCGAUCGCAUCGCGAAAAUCAAACUGCGCCGUUACAUCCACGAAUCUGGCCGAGAUGGAUGUGAUGUUUUCACGUGAAGCAGUACAAGGACGCGUUUAUACAGGGUUAUCCCUGGUUUAUAUAAUGAUA